rnacentral:rRNA from 1 species
UGGGGAAUUUUGGACAAUGGGGGAAACCCUGAUCCAGCCAUCCCGCGUGUGCGAUGAAGGCCUUCGGGUUGUAAAGCACUUUUGGCAGGAAAGAAACGUCGCGGGUUAAUACCCCGCGGAACUGACGGUACCUGCAGAAUAAGCACCGGCUAACUACGUGCCAGCAGCCGCGGUAAUACGUAGGGUGCAAGCGUUAAUCGGAAUUACUGGGCGUAAAGCGUGCGCAGGCGGUUCGGAAAGAAAGAUGUGAAAUCCCAGAGCUUAACUUUGGAACUGCAUUUUUAACUACCGGGCUAGAGUGUGUCAGAGGGAGGUGGAAUUCCGCGUGUAGCAGUGAAAUGCGUAGAUAUGCGGAGGAACACCGAUGGCGAAGGCAGCCUCCUGGGAUAACACUGACGCUCAUGCACGAAAGCGUGGGGAGCAAACAGGAUUAGAUACCCUGGUAGUCCACGCCCUAAACGAUGUCAACUAGCUGUUGGGGUCUUCGGACCUUGGUAGCGCAGCUAACGCGUAAGUUGACCGCCUGGGGAGUNCGGUCGCAAGAUUAAAACUC